GACGGAAGGUGCAAGCGUUGCUCGGAAUCACUGGGCGUAAAGGGUGCGUAGGCGGCCGUGCAAGUCUGGCGUGAAAGCCCCGGGCUCAGCCCGGGAAGUGCGCUCGAAACUGCGCGGCUCGAGUGCCGGAGGGGAGAGUGGAAUUCCUGGUGUAGCGGUGAAAUGCGUAGAUAUCAGGAGGAACACCGAUGGCGAAGGCAGGUCUCUGGGCAUUAACUGACGCUGAGGAGCGAAAGCAUGGGGAGCGAACAGG
rnacentral:rRNA from 1 species